GGAGGAAAUACGGUAUUUGUUUGACGAUUGACUAUAGGACUAAAGGCGGACUGUG
rnacentral:sRNA from 1 species